rnacentral:misc_RNA from 1 species
AACUGAUACUACCUGCGGGAACCUGCGGAAGGAUCAUUAAUGAAAUCAUAUUCUCCUUUGGAGUUUCUUCUAGCUGAUGCGUCUUUUGGCUGCACGCUGUUGUCACUCUUUAGGGGUUAUAUUUCCACAAACCCUUCUGUGCAUAUUGGGAGGCUUUAUUGUCCUCUCCUAAUUCAUAUACUCUAAUGUUUAAUCAUGUCAUACAAUGUUAAAUACAUUAAACAACUUUUAACAACGGAU